UCUACGGGAGGCAGCAGUGGGGAAUAUUGCACAAUGGGGGAAACCCUGAUGCAGCGACGCCGCGUGAAGGAAGAAGUAUUUCGGUAUGUAAACUUCUAUCAGCAGGGAAGAAAAUGACGGUACCUGACUAACAAGCCCCGGCUAACUACGUGCCAGCAGCCGCGGUAAGACGGAGGGGGCAAGCGUUAUACGGAUUUACUGGGUGGAAAGGGAGCGUAGGCGGUUUAGCAAGUCAGAAGUGAAAGCCCGGGGCUCAACUCGGGGACUGCUUUUGAAAAUGUUGAACUUGAUUGCAGGAGAGGUAAGUGGAAUUCCUGGUGUAGCAGUGAAAUGCGUAGAUAUUAGGAGGAACACCAGUGGCGAAGGCGGCUUACUGGACUGUAAAUGACGCUGAGGCUCGAAAGCGUGGGGAGCAAACAGGAUUAGAUACCCCAGUAGUC
rnacentral:rRNA from 1 species